UCACCAGUGACCCUAAUCUAGAGGCUGGG
rnacentral:piRNA from 1 species